GGCUGAGGCCUGCAAGGGAGGGGCUGGGUCUCUAGUACAGCCUGAACGAGGGAGUGUUCCCGCAAACGAGAUUCUCCGAUUCGAUAUUUCCGGGGAAGGACGGAGCAGGUCAGAAUGAAAGGACAAAGCGGAGCAAGAUGAGUGAAAGAGACCUGAGAGAAGCGGAAAAAAAGCGGAGCCAGGCUGGCCGGGAAGGUUAGGGCCACGAAGAUAGAAGCAGAUCGAAUGCACUAAGAGUUAACCCGAGGGGAGUAAGUUUGCCCGCCUGGACCUAAACCUCUGGCAGGCAGGAUGGUGUGGAAGGGCAGGUGGAGAGGACGGAGUCGAGCUAACAUUGGACGGAUCAGAGCGAGGACAGUAGAAGCGGCCCUGAUUGGUCUGGGACGAGGAAGGCGGGACUGAGCCAGGGGAGGGAACUGUAGAUGGAAUGGGGCCAAGCCUGACUGAAAAGGGCCAGGGCGAAGGGAAAGAGGCUCAGAUCCGGUAAAACGGGGGCAGACCUGAGGCCAAGGACAGGGCUAAGGCGGGGGAUAGAGGCUGAAAGCUAGGCCUGUCUACACUGAGCUUGGCCAGGAGGAGGAGAGUCUCAAAGGAUGGGGCGGGACGGAGGUGGAUGAUCAAGGAAUGCAGAAGGCGGAAAAGAUCUGAAAUGGGCUGUAGGAGGGGGAAUAGGGGGAGCUAGAGGAAAAGUGAGCGCUGGACAGAGGGUAAGGAGCUGGAACGGGGAGAUCUUGGAACAGGGCCCUAAUUAAGGGUCCGCAGGACCUUAGGGGCCGGCGUAAGGACCAAGGGAUGAGCAAGGACAGGGCUCAGUCUCCUUUCCGCGGCUGUGACUUCAUACCCUCCCCUUAGUCUUUUUGGGGGAGUCUUUGGGCGCCCACUCCGCAGUGCGCCAGUCACUCAGAACUCUGCCUCGCCAGUCUCUGCUCUUUCAUCCGGCCUGGCUGCCCCUUCAGAGAUCCCGGUCCCUUCCUGGGCCUGUCUUCCCUCUUAGCUUUUCGUCUCUGGGUGGCCUCCCUGUCCUGGGUCACUCUCCCUCCUGGUGUCUGUCCCCUCUUUGUCUCUGUGUUUUACUCCCUCAAGGUUCUGCCCAUUCACCUGGGUCGCUGACUCCCCGCCCCUUUCCUCUCCCUGCAGGCCGAUCCUUGCCCUCUUUCCAGCCAUCUCCCACCCUCUUUCUGGAUCUCAUCAUUCUUUUCCUCUGUCCCCUCCCUGAGUCUUCCCCAUGUCUCUCCCUUUCUAGAUGUCUCUUUCUGGAUGCCCCCUUCUCUCAGGGCGCCCCGCCCCUCACACCCUGAUCUAACCCCCAUCCUGGCCUGGACUCCAGGCUGAGUCACUGCAGGGAGUUGGAGAAGUGGGGCCUGACCUGCAGGCCAAGGUGGUGGUGCCGUCACUCCCCAGACUCAGGCUCUCCCAGCACCUCAGUCCAGGGUCUGUGACCCUCGUGCAGCCCUCAUACCUCUGAUGGGACCCACCAUGGCCAAGAAAAGAUCUGGGCACCACAGCUCUGUGCCCCAAAUUCUGGUGUGCCCCAGGCAGAAGCAGGCGAUCCAGAGGUGAGAGACGGGGUAAGGGCUGAGUGAGGCUUGCAGGCCAUUUGGGGGCGGGGUGGAGGCUGGAGCUGGGAUAGGGCCGGGCAGGGACCUGAGCCAGCCACCUCCCCUAAAGCACGCCCCCUGCUUCCCCCUGUUUAACUGCAGCCAUGUAGGAGAUCAAGGGACCGAAUCAGCAUUUUAGUAGAGGUCAGAUGGUAUAGAUAAAGUGGGGGUUUGGUAAGGAGAAAGGAUCUGGAAAGGGGAGACCACGGGAUGAGAUUUGGGAUUAGAAGCCACGGAGGGAGGGAGAGCCCUCCAACGGGGGGUAGUAAUAGGACGGUGAGGGCUCCCUGGGCCCAAAAUUUAGACGCUGUCACCCUUAUGGCCUUGUGGGACCUCUUCAGGCUACAUGGGGGAUCUAUGAGUCCGGAGUCCCCACCUGUCUUUUAGAAGGGACUUCGGGGGUCAAGAUGGGCCCUGAGUUUCUGGGACAUGGGCUCCAUGCUUAGCAACAGACACCAGGAGAGGAAAGGCUAAUCCUGUCCACGUCCAAUCCUUCCUUGUCCCUGCUCCUCCCAAUCCAUCCUUUCUCAGGUGCUCAAAGCACAGAAUUCCUCAAAGCUCCAAAGUCCCACCUCCACCAUCUCCAAGACUCCUUUCCAAUCCUCCUUACCCACUUCCCCAGAGUCCGGCACCUGGGGAUGGGUCUUCUCUGAUUUUAACGACCUCUAUUCUCAUUGGUUCCAAAUCCAGGAAAGGGAGACCCUUGAUCCCCGAGACCUCCAAAUACCUCGGUGCCCCAAAGCUUAGAACUGAGGGGGAAUCGCUCCGCUGUCAUUUUUGGGUCCCAUCUCCCAGUCCCCGCUUCCAUAAGUGGGAUUCGAGUCCUUUUACGCCCGCGGACCUGAACCUCCGCUCCCCCCCCCACUGUACUCACCCCUAGUCGAGGCGAGGCGGGGUUGGGGGUAUCCCGGCACUGGCGGUUGGGGGAGGGGUGGCCCAGCCCCGGCAGCUCUGGGCAGCGACCGGCUGCGGGGGGGCAGUGACAUCACCGCCGGAGGAGGGGCUGCCCUCGCUCCCCCUUACCCCGGGGCUUCAAGCUCCGCCUUUAUGGCAGACCCAGGGCCCCAGAAUCCAAAGGGGCGAGAAAGGGAACCGGAGACGAGACCAGCAGAAACGGCAUCCCCUCUCCUUAAAACAAGGGUUGGGAAAUCUUUCACCCAUUUCAGCGCCCCCCCACUGCCACCUGUCGCUGUGGUCGUGACCUGUCGCCUCCUACGCUUGUUGUGGCUACUACCGCCCUCGCCAGAGCGUGGAAAGGUGCGGACUACAACAUCCGGCGUGCUCCGCGGUCCGGGCGCCUUUGUGUGGAGGCAGAGAACGCCAGGGGUUUUAUGGGAUUCGUAGUAUAAGACACAGGCUCCCUUCCAUUAUUGUGAGCCUUACAGAACAGGAACCUCUGGUGAACUGAACACCAAUUUUUUUUUUCUCUCUCCAAAAAAAAUGCACUUAAGAGACCCAGGUAGAUGAAUUCAAUGGGAAUCUCGGAUCUUUCCCUGGAUGUUGAACCUCCGCGAUCCCGUGGUGCACGUGUGUCUCGCUGGGGCAUCAAUCGGAGAAUUGCGCCCGCGCGGUCCCGCCCCCUCUCUGCUCUGUUCGGGGAACGCGAGCGCGCGCCAGGCCCACUCGGGCUCCGCUGCUCGUGCUCCCGCGGUCAAAGACCGCCACGUAGGCCCCUAAGAAGACGUCGCCGAAGAUCCAGAGGGGUCCUGCAGGCGGAGGCAUAUCCAAGGCCUGGAAGCCGGACAAGCAGAGGCGGAAGCCACCCAGAGAAAUCUACAAGGCGCCAAGACAGGACCACAGGGUGUCAGUAACGCUCUUCCAGCUGCCUCUUCCCUUCCAGCCACCGCUUCGCCCCGCCCUGGUAGGCACACCCGGCUCCACCCUCAGCCCAGCGCACGCCGUGCUGCUGACGUCAUCGUGAUGGUCCCUCACCUGCAUGACGUAGUCCUGGGCCGUGAGGUUAAACCAGACACCCCCGAGGAGGAAGGAGACUGGGGGUAGCGUUGGGAUUUUGGAGCACAGAAUGAAAUGCUGGAAUGAAGAGGAACAAGUAAAGAUGGGCAAUUCUUGCUCCGCUCAAAUCCCUCUCUGGCUCCCCAGUGCCAUCAGGCACUAUCUGUUUUGGGCAGCUAGAUAUCCGGGUCUUAUGUGGACAGGCUUGUCGCCUAAGCUUCUUCACCCAGGCCUAAAUAAACCUAUCGGCUCAACUCCUCCCCGCUCCCCCAGAUCACCUGGGUAGCCAUGGCAGCGUCCAGCCCCACCACCUCAGAGGUCCGAUUCCGUCUGCCCCUGGCUACCUCCUGGCUACCUGCUUCCCACCCUGGAGACCGAGGGGCCCUCCCACUGCCUGCCCAGCCCACGCCCACACCCUCCAGAAAAUGGGUCCUGACCUCGCCAGUCAGCCAGGGAAGGGCCCCAAUGGCCCUGUGCAGGGCCCGGAUCUCCUCAGAGGGUCCCGUGAUGAGGGACGUGCCUGUGUCGAAAAUGGCCGCACAGCCCUGGACACAGAGAGUCAGCCCUGUGCCCACCUUCACUCUGCCAAGGGGAGGAGCGGCCAUUAGUCAAGGCCCUAGGGCUCCAGAGCCCAGGACCCGGAAGGCCAGGCCACUCACUGGUCCAUGUGGAUCUGCCAGUAGGCUGGGACGGUGACCGGCAGGAAGGUGAGGGGCGCGACGUAGUGGGCGGGGUCUGCGCCGCCCAGGACCAGCUGGCCUCCAUCAGCGCCUGCGAAGUCCCUGCAGAGGCAGAGUGCUGUAGGUGUUGCCGCCUUUCCCCUGCCGCCCAGGAGCGACCAGAGGUGGGACUUCGUGCCAAAUGGGUGGUUUCUUAGUUCUAGGUGGGAUGGUGGGGCUGGGAGCAAGGCAAGAAGAGAAAUGCUGCCCCUCUCUCUCUCUACCCCCCUUCCUCCCUUUUAUUAUCAUUUUAUUCUGAGACGGGGUCUCAGGAAGUAACCCAAGGUGGCCUUGAACUAAGGAGCUGGGAUUACAGGCCUGUGCCACCACGUCCAGGGGAAGUGGUGAUUUUAACACCAUUGGGGAAGGACUUUAGUGUGCUUUGGGACAUCCUGAAGUGGGGAUGCCACUGCCCCACCUGCCUGUGGACGGUAGAACCUUUGAGGGGAAAGUUCCUGAGCCAGAUGUCCUUGUGCCUGGGUGGAGUAUUGAGAUUUAGAAUCUUGGUGUGUGGCCAGGGUAGAAGGGGGCUGAGUGACUGACUUCCUGUGGGUGGUGAGACUCCCGAGUUGUGUGCCUAGGUCUCUAGAGAGGCGUUGGGCCUCCAGAGCCAGCAGGGAGUGAUGGGGCCUGUGAAAAGGGAGGCGGGACCUGCAGCGUGGGCUGGGUGUCACGGUAACUGGGCGCAGGAAUGCCUCUGUGGGUGAUGGUCGGGGGGGCUUCCUGACGGUAAGGGUUUCUGAGCGUAAGAGUGGACUUCCCAGCAGCAGGCAGGACUCUGGGUUACAAUGGGCAAUUUCUGACUUCUGCUGAGUGUUCUUGAGUGGAACGUGAGAUAUCUUAAGGGUAAAGAGAGGGUUCCAAGUAUUUAAUUGGGCGGAGUGUGGAAUUUCCUGUUUGGUUUUGAAGUGAGAAAGCACUGGGAACGGAAAGUUACUGUAGUGUGUCUUAAGUUGUCACUUAAGCUGUGAGGCUUCUGAGAGUUGGGGUGCUGUUAUGUUGGCUAAGUGUUCUCCUGAAGGGAGAGUGAGGACUUCCAGAAAGGACGGUGGUGCCGCGCUGGACACUCCUGAAGGGUGGCAGAAGUCCUCCCUGGGGCCGGGCCUCUGCUCCCAGUACCUGUUGAGGUAGAAGGAGAAGACAGGCUUCUCCAGCAGUCCCUUCUCCACCAGGACAUCCAGUGGGGGUGGAACUCUGUCCACGGCCAGAAUGGGAAAGCCCAGGCCAAAUAUCCCGUCGAAGGAGGCAAAAGUAAAGACCAGGCUGGGCUCCCACAGGGCCUCCCCAAAAGUCACCGAUGCAUUGUUGAUUCCCCCAAUCUAGGAGUAGAUUGAGAUGCGGCGGUUACUUAUGGGAAGACGUUACCCAGACAGCCCUGAGACUGAAACGUCUGGGGUUUAGAAGUCCCAUCUGCCUCCCUCAUUGAGAAGCCCCGCCCCUUACCAGGAGGCCCCGCCUCUCCAAGCCCCUCCCUAAACCGCCGGCGCUAGACCCUGGGGUUGUUCUAAAUUGAGCCUUCCUGGGGCUGAAGGUCACGCACGGUCAGUUUGUCCUCACUCAGGAUUCCGCUCAGCCGUCCGGUUCCGUAUUGGAUGGUGAAUUUCGUCCCGUUGGGCCGAAAGGAGCUGGAGGCUUUGGAAUCGUAACGGUGGUGGAACCCUAAAGGAGAAGAGCAGAGAGGUGUCAGGGCGAGAUGGGAGUCUACCCCGUGCCUUCUGCUCCUUUCAGCUUCUUCGCUGUGAGGAAGUCCGAAGAAAAUGGUCUUCCC